CUCUAAUGUCUGAAAUGAUUUUAUCAAAUUGUGAUCAUGAUUGCAUUAUGCUUGUACUUUCUACUGUGAUGAUCAAUGAAAUAUGACUCAAGUGUGUUUAGCUGAACAAUUUCAUAGGUCCAGAUUCGUCAGGAAAGGGAGAAGUGUUGCAAUUAUUUCGUAUGUGUUCUAAGUUGAUUGAGAAUAGUGUCGACGCUUAGGACACAAGGAUGGCUUAAAAGGGUUCACGAUGAGGAUUACUCGUUCAGUGAAGAGGGGAUCGAUAGAACCGCGAUGCAUUUACAGAAGAAAAUUAAAAGCGGAGCUUCACCGG